rnacentral:rRNA from 1 species
UACGUAGGGUGCAAGCGUUGUCCGGAAUUAUUGGGCGUAAAGAGCUCGUAGGCGGUUUGUCGCGUCUGGUGUGAAAAUCCAGGGCUUAACCCUGGACCUGCAUCGGGUACGGGCAGACUAGAGUGCGGUAGGGGAGAUCGGAAUUCCUGGUGUAGCGGUGAAAUGCGCAGAUAUCAGGAGGAACACCGGUGGCGAAGGCGGAUCUCUGGGCCGUAACUGACGCUGAGGAGCGAAAGCAUGGGGGGCGAACAGG